CCUACGGGAGGCUGCAGUGGGGAAUAUUGCACAAUGGGGGAACCCCUGAUGCAGCGACGCCGCGUGCGUGAAGAAGUAUUUCGGGAUGUAAAGCUCUAUCAGCAGGGAAGAAACCCACCCUCCGGGGUGGCUGACUGUACCUUACUAACAAGCCCCGGCGAGCUACGUUCCAGCCGCCGCGGUACUACGUAGGGGACAAGCGUUAUCCGGAUUUACUGGGUGUAAAGGGAGCGUAGGUGGCAAGGCAAGUCAGAUGUGAAAACCCGGGGCACAACCCCGGGAGUGCAUUUGAAACUGUCUGGCUAGAGUGCAGGAGAGGUAAGGGGAAUUCAUAGUGGAGCGGUGGAAUGCGGAGAUAUUAGGAAGAACACCAGUGGCGAAGGCGAUAUGCUGGAGUGUAACUGACACUGAGGCACGAAAGUGUGGGGAGCAAACAGGAUUAGAUACCCGAGUAGUC
rnacentral:rRNA from 1 species